rfam:Triticum aestivum genome assembly, contig: Triticum_aestivum_CS42_TGACv1_scaffold_093246_2AL
CUUGUACUCUUUCCGUCCGAAAAUGUUUUCUUUCGGAGAAAUGGACGUAUCUAGACAUAUUUUAAUUCUAGAUACAUUCAUUUUUAUCCAUUUCUCCAACAAGUAUUUUUGGACGGAUGGAGUAUUCA